rnacentral:lncRNA from 1 species
AUAACACAAUUGAUAUCUUCGUAAAAUCUACUUAGUGAAAGCGUUUCCUCACCAUCAUUUUCAUGAAUCGGAGAGAAACCUUAUGACACUUAGAUUUAUAUGGUGUAUGAGUUCCUACCCAUAUGAAUUUGUCAAACCAUAAUCACAAGACAAAGAUAAUGACAAAUCCAAAACCAUAUGGAUUGAACUCAAUCUUAACUUCUUGCCACCUGGCAGCUCAAGGGCCUGCCAUUGCUUCCAAGUUGUUAUGCAACAAACUGAGAACUCUAAGAACUCAUAUGCAAAGCCAACUUUAACUGGAAUGGGCACAGAUAUGUCAACACGAUAGGUUAUAAACCUCAAGUCGUGUGCUAGUGAAGAACUUUAGGUUUUAUUCUUGAUUAUUUCUUGAGACUUUCAAGACCUUUAAGACUCCCACUGUCCUCUUGACAUAUAAGACUCCCUUGUCAAACAUCCAAGAGAUAGUGCGGAUUCUAAUCAAGAAAAACACUUUACCCAAUUGGCCUAAGUUGGUCUUUGUUUUAUCCAAAACAUCACAACUUACCAAUUUCAAAUGUACAAGAGUAGAAAACUUUUACUCUUACAUUUGACAAGUGUUUUAAACCUUCUUUAAGACAUGUCACUCAAAUGACAAUCUUGGAGUAUGACUCUAAGACUUGUAUUGGAACGAAGUAUGACUCAUCUUCUUGAUUUAACCAUUUCAACAAUUCAAGUUCCUCUUCUUAGUCAUAAGAAUGCACUAAGAUUUCCUUAGAGAACUAAUUUUGAUAUGGUUUCUUAAUCAUUAAGAUGAUCACAAAACUGAUACUAAAGUACUCUCCCAUCUUUUCAGAUUUGAGAAACUUUUAUCCUUCUGCCUUAUUUGAUUCUUCUUAUCGAUCUUUAGUGGUGGACUUAAUCAGUGCACAAGAAUGUGUACUCGAUCCCUAAGUCCUUUACUUGACUCACACAUCCAUGUGAACAAGUAAUUAGUCUUAAUUUUCCAAAACUUGAAAGUUCUCAUUCAUCAUGCUAUACAACUUGCAUGAUUCCAAGUUCCGGUCCAAUUGAAACUUGGGUGAUGAGAAUCUUUCCUUAUUUGGUAAAUUUAGACAUUACCACAAAUGAAAGAAUCAAUUUCAUAUUUCCACUCUUGCUCUUAAUGGAAUCAUAUAAGCAACAAUUUUUCCUCAAAUGCCAUUGUAAGGAUAUUUUAAAAUAAAUAAAAUAUAAAAAAUUUUCUUUUAUUUUAAAACUUUGCGGAAAAACUUAUCCUUACAAUCCAUAUGAAAACUUGUUGUUAUCUAUUCCUAAGCAAUAUCUCAUAACUCCUAAGAAGUAGCUCAAGAAUCCGAUCUUCAAACUAUGCGAUAGAAAUCCAUCUACGCCAUCAGAUUCAGCAUAUUCUUUCUUUAAGUUUCUUCACUUUUCUUUGAUUCUUAAAACAUCACCAUGUGACCCAGUCACAUCAUGUAUCAAGAAUCUCAGAAUAGAAACUUAACAGAGUUAGAUAGUGGACUUUACCUGAAGUAGAGUCAAACUUAUUGACUUUAACAUCCUUAGGUAAAUUUGGCAGCUUCGCAACCAAUGCCCCUUCCUUUGGCAAUAUAAACAUAUGGACCCUUUGAUAAUGGUACACGGGACUAUCACAGACUUAGCUUUUCUCUUUACCAUUUGGUCAACCGAGUUGACUAUGGCCGAUCCCUUUCCAUUGGGAAGAGAAUGCUUUACUGGAUAUCCAAUGUCAUCAUUGUCAAUGUCCAUAAAGUUUUAGGAAGUUGAUCUUAGCAAAUAGAUAAGAUCAUUAAGGGUCUUGUCAUAGUCUGUUUCAUAGGUGUCCCAAAGGAACUCACUAUGUGACUUAGAAAGUGGUUGAACCACCAACUUUCUCAAGACUUUGACACCCAACUCUCCCGGCUUGUCAAUAUGUGACUACAUCUCCAAGAUGUGACCACACCUAGACCUUGCCUUGCCAAUAGGGCCUGAGUGACCUUAAACUUUUCAAGAACUUGUGGGUUAGGGAGAAUAAUUUGAAGAGGUGAAGAAGUAUGAUAUCCAUGGGACAUCAUCUUCAUUAGGAAACCUUGUUUCAAGAGAUUUGGGAAGAUCAUAGGUGUCUAAACCAGACAUCUUUUGGGAGAUAUUCAAGAUAGUUGAUUUAAAGUCCUUAAUAUGACACCCAAUAUGAAAUAUUAAGGCUAGGACCCAACAAACUAUUUUAUAACUUAGAAGAGGUAUGCCGUAAUCCAAGCUAUAAAAUAUUUGAAGGUAGGUGAAUGACGAUUCACCAAUUUCCACCAAGAUAAACGAAAUGUAUUAUUAGGUUUUAAUUGGUUUUGAAACUCCUAGAUCUUUGAGAUUCAUUGAACUUUUCAAAGGCAUGUUUCAAUCUCGAGUGUGCCCUUCAGGUUUUGUGACUGGGAUGCCGAGGAUCACAAAACAAGGUGUGAAGUAACCAUGCAAAUCACUUGGUACCCUUAAUAAAUUACCCCUCAAUCGAUGUGCCGGUUAACCACACACGCUCCAUCGAUACUAUGAUAAAUAUUAAGUCACCCUUUACCUACCUUGUUAAGUCCAAGUUAGUGUGCCGGUUAACCACACACGCUCCACUAACGACUUAGACAAAGUGUAAAGUGUAAUUUCAUGGAUUAGCACCUUAUUCACAUUUUUCCUAAGUAACUAAGAUUGGGUAUUAUUAAGAGUUUAGUUACUUAGUAUUAUCAUUAAUACUUUUAAUGAAGGGAGAAUUCUAGUCCUGUCAAACCCGUUCGGCUAACGACCCUCCACCAGUCAAGCAAGCGGUGGGUGAGAGUGGACACCCAUUAAGUUGCCAUUUUAUAGGCAACAACCUUAUACCCACCUUAUAGACCGGCUUCGUGAAUGAGGCGUACUAGCGGUAAGACUGACUUUACUCUUAUACAUAUAUAUAUUAUUAACUUAUAAUAUUAUAAAGUAUAAGGGUUGAAUUUUAACUUUUAAAAUUCUAAGGGCUAACUUGGAAUUAAAGUAUUCAUACUUGAAAACUUUUCAAAUUCCAAAACUUGAGGGCAAGUUUUGAAACUAUUCAAAACUAAUUAAUUCCAUAACUUAUGUGUUUAAAGUAGUUUUAAUCCAAAAACUCUUCAAGUUCCAUAACUUGAGGACAAGUUAUGGAAGACUUUAAACUAAUAAAAGAACUAACUUUUUCUUUAUUUUAUAACUUAUGGAUUUAAUUAUGGUUACAUAUUUUUCUUUAAUGAAGUGACUCUUGAACUUCCAUAACUUGAGGACAAGUUAUGGAGUCAAAAAAAAUUAUUCAAUGACACAAGACUCUUCAUUUUGUAACCAUUGCCAACUCUUAUGAGUUUUAUGAGUCUUUAAUGUGACUCUUCAUGUAACUUGAGGACAAGUUACACAAACACAUUUUAUACUCAACUCUUAGAUUAAAAUGGAUUGAAAACAACUAUUUCACUCAACAUUUCUAUUAAUCUAAGCAACUCAUAAGAACAAGAUAAUUCAAAUCAAACUUUUUCAUGUAAUUAGUCUAAACCUUAAACUAAUACAAAACAUGAAUCUAUUGACAAUUAUCUUUGAAAAUGGAUUAGCAUGAACAUUACCACAUCAAAAACAAGUUUAUAAGUUCAAAAACAACUUAGGGUAAUGUUCCUAGUCCAUUUCUAGCCAAAAAACUCGAAAAUAUGCUGUCUGGGGGUCCAACUCGUCGAGUGCAUGAACAAACUCGGCGAGUUGGAUCGAAUUCAUCACUUUUUAGGCAUGGACUCGUCGAGUCUCCUGAUGGACUCGCCGAGUCUGAUGGCCAGACAGCACCAGAUUCGUUUUUUCAGCUUCUAUUGCAGGUAUAACAAGAAAACAAGCCUAGGCUCUGAUACCACUGUUGGGUUUUGAGCAUUCUAACACUCCUAAGUGUACAUGCAACCCUAAAUACCUUGGAUCUAUGUUUUCUCUAUUAUACAUGCAAAUAAGAACUUCCAAGGUAUUAUCCUAAUCUAGCAUACAAAACAAUAAUGUAACAAGAUAGAAUACAUACCUCUUGAUGUAGAAAGUCUUCAUGAAGCUUGAGUGCUUAGUGCCCCAAGUGUGACACCUCAAAUGGAAUCACAAUCAUCAAAACACUUAGAAUGACUUGAGAGAAUUCUACACUCACCAAAAUCGGCUAGCCCUUUCUUGAAUACUACUAGUGGCCGAUUUUUCCUCAAUAAUAAGAUGCUUAUAUAGUUACACAAUUAGGGUAAACUCUUAAUUGUCAUGGCUUUCCAUUUCCUUGGAUCCAUGGGUACAAAUACACCAUGGAGCAUCCAUGGACCAUCCUAUGGGUUUUAGCCCAACUUGAUUAUCCAUGGAGCAUUAGCCCACUAUACAAGUAUGGAUGAUUUACACAAUCAACCCAUAUAUUUAAUUAGUCUUCUUUUGAUCACUUAAUUAAUCCUAGAUUAAUUCUUGAUCAAUACUAAUUAAAUAAUCUUAUUAUUCUUAUUAUUAAUAUACUAGAACUUAUAAUAUAUUAAUAACCAUAAGUGUCUUAUUUCUCUCAUUAUAGUCUAUCCAAGUGCAUGAUGGUAUGCAACCCAAAUGGACCAUGCCGGGUCGGGUCAAGUCUUACCAAUUAUAGUUAUGGACUUAGACAUUAAUCCAACAGUCUCCCACUUGGAUAAGUCUAAAACUAUUAUUGCGUAUGACUUCAGGAACCAACUGGCAAUCGUAGCUCUCAAAAGCUUCUGUCGAACUCUGACCUUGUAGAUGAACUCUGACCUUUGUCAAUGACUUGUCCAUUAGAUAAGGGAUCAUAUAUUCCUCCAUUCUAGAUAUCAUAUGGACUGAGACAUGGAUUAUAAUCAUUCUCUCUGUCCAUUUGUUGUUUCCCGAUUUCCGAUUUAUGACGACUGACUAAUUGAACAAAUCAAAUCAGUCCUGGCCCGGCCGAGCACUUCCAUUUGUCAUCAUCAAAUCAUCGAGGGGCCCACAGAUAUCGCUUUUAUCCCGAAGGUAAAAGGAAUGGAUAAACUUCGACUCAUAUGGCUUGUUCUACUACUUGUUGAAUCAUACACAAAGGCACGUUUUAUAGCACCGAGUUACCAAAUGCGUUUUCGUGCAAUCAAUGUACUAUCAACUCAUAGUAACAACUCAUAUCUCUAGGUUUGAAGAAUAUAAGAUAUUAUCGUCUCAUGAUCACUCGUGAUAAAAUCCAUGAAGUGAUUCCAAUGAGCGCGGGUUGAAUCCAAUACUCAGAACUUAUGAGCACUCAUGAGUGUUGUAGCCCUUUGUCCAACACCUUAGACCUCUACAAGCCAACCCAUGACAGUCUUAAUUCAUAUCUACUUCCAACAUAUGACCGACUGUGGAUGGUUUGAAUAACUUAGUCAUUCCGGAAGAAUAACCCAGUUUAUUCGGGAAGUCAAAACAUGCAAAAUGAAACACAAUAAUAAUUGAAUCCAAUAUGGUAUCAACCCUUUGAACAUAAAUAAAACACCUUUUAUUUAUCACCAUAUGAUUACACAUUAUUCAUUGUAUACUGUUUCAGCUAUCAACUUUAUUCUUGAAUUUAAAACAAUAGUUGUCCCAUGCUCCAAGCAUGUACACUAUGUUUUCUUAAACACUAGUCAUGCCACACACCAAGUAUGCAUACUAUGUUUGUCUAUGAUCUUUACUUUGUGAACUAGAUCAAUUGAACAUAACUUCAAUGAUUCUCUUUUCACACUCCCAAAUCCUUACUGCAAAUGCAAGAAUUCCAAAUUCAUGCCAUUUACAGAAAUCUGUUAGAUUCUAAACUUAUAUGCAUUGAUCCUCUUGUAACGAUUAUGCACAAAGUCACAAAGACUUGGCAACAAUCAUUACAGAGUAUUCCAAAGGAGAUCAACUCCUUGGAAAUAUCCUUCUUGCAUUAAGUUUCCUUAAUCUUACACAGAUUGAAAAUUCUAACUUUGAAACAUUUCCAGAUUCCAUUUUGACUAUCACUUCUGAACAAGAGUUGCCUCCUUACAGAUUAUGUCAAUAUGGUCCUUCCAGAAUUAUCACUAUACUUCCAAUUGUCCUUGAGCAACCAAUCUUUGGUAAACCUUAGAUUGUCCUCGACAAUUGUUUAAUCCUUUUAGUCAUAUCCAGUUCUAAACCUUUUCCCUUCUUAAUGCCCCAGGCAUUUGGAAAAUUUUAGAACGGAUGAAUAUAGCACAUGUAAUCGAUCCUAUAUCCGAAGCAUAUGGGACACGAUUCAUGAUGUCUUACAUAAAGACUAAACCAGUCUUUUGCUAUAAUAUUUCCAUUUCAAUUUGCCAAGUUCUCAUAAUUCAGAUUAUGAAAAGGGAUGCCGUAAUCAUAAUCGAAUUUUAGAACGCAAAUAAUGGACCCAUAUACAGAAUUUCCUUAUGUUGAGCCAUUCCAACAUGAAAUUCAUAUAUAUCCUUGACUAAAUGAUUAAAACCUCACGAUCUAAGCUUAUAGAUUUGAGAUGAAGUAUAAUUUCCUCUCCCUUAAUUAUAGCAAAACAACUUUUUCCCAAUUGAAACUUUUGUUUUCUAUAAUUAACAUUGCUAACUUGCAAUACUUAUCAUAAUUAUCAUGCUCCCACUAACAUGAUGAUUAUUAGCAUAACACUUAUGCUCCCACUAGCUUUGACAUGUACUCAGAAAUCAGCUGACUUUCUUACCAAAGUUCAGAUUUCUGAUACUAGAUUGUUUUGAUAAGUCUUUAUCAAAAUCAUACACCUUCCCUUAGAUAGCACACUUGUGUAUCUAAACAAUUAUGAAGAGGGAUGCCGUAAUCAUAAUGUUUAGACCUUUUUGCCACUUCUCACAAGUCCAAAUUAGUGUGCCGGUUAACCACACGCGCUCCACUAACGACUUUGAGAAUGCAAAUAUCACAAUUGCUAUCUAGCUAAAAUCUACUUAGUGAAAGUGUUUCCUCACCAUCAUUUUCAUGAAUCAGAGAGAAACCUUAUGACACUUAGAUUUAAUGGCGUAUGUGUUCUUAUCCAUGUGAAUUGUCAAAACCAUAGUCACAAGACAAGGAUAAUGACAAAUCCAAACUCAUAUGGAUUGAACUCAAUCUUAACUUCUUGCCACCUGGCAGCUCAAGGGCCUGCCAUUGCUUCCAAGUUGUUGUGCAACAAAUUGAGAACUCUAAGAACUCAUAUGCAAAGCCAACUUUAACUGGAAUGGGCACAGAUAUGUCAACACGAUAGGUUAUAAACCUCAAGUCGUGUGCUAGCGAAGAACUUCAGGUUUUAUUCUUGAUUAUUUCUUGAGACUUUCAAGACCUUUAAGACUCCCACUGUCCUCUUGACAUAUAAGACUCCCUUGUCAAAUAUCCAAGAGAUAGUGAGGAUUCUAAUCAAGACAAACACUUCACACAAUUGGCCUAAGUUGGUCUUUGUUUUAUCCAAAACAUCACAACUUACCAAUUUCAAAUGUACAAGAGUAGAAAAACUUUUACUCUUACAUUUGACAAGUGUUUUAACCUUCUUUUGAGACAUGUCACUCAAAUUACAAUCUUGGAGUAUGACUCUAAGACUUGUAUUGGAACGAAGUAUGACUCAUCUUCUUGAUUUAACCACUUCAACAAUUCAAGAUCCCUCUUCUUAGUCAUAAGAAUGCACUAAGAUUUCCUUAGAGAACUAAUUGUGCUAUGGUUUCUUAAUCAUUAAGAUGAUCACAAAAACUGAUACUAAAGUACUCUCCCAUCUUUUCAGAUUUGAGAAACUUUUAUCUUACUGCCUAAAUUGAUUCUUCUUAUUCGCUCUGCCUUACAUUGGAACCUUUUCCAAUGUCUCAGAGUUACACUUAAGCUUGUAAGUAUAAUCAUAUUUACUGAACUUAAGUAAAUCAUGACGAAUAGUCUUAUCAAACUUUUUGUGGUGGACUUGACCAGUGCACAAGAAUGUGUACUCGAUCCCUUAGUCCUUUACUUGAUUCACACAUCCAUGUGAACAAGUAAUUAGUCUUAAUUUUCCAAAACUUGAAAGUUCUCAUUCAUCAUGCUAUACAACUUGCAUGAUUCCAAGUUCCGGUCCAAUUGAAACUUGGGUGAUGAGAAUCUUUCCUUAUUUGGUAAAUUUAGACAUUACCACAAAUGAAAGAAUCAAUUUCAUACUUCCACUCUUGCUACUAAUGGAAUCUUAUAAGCAACAAAAAUUUCCACAGAUGCCAAC